rnacentral:rRNA from 1 species
UAGGGAAUCUUCGGCAAUGGGGGGAACCCUGACCGAGCAACGCCGCGUGAGUGAAGAAGGUUUUCGGAUCGUAAAGCUCUGUUGUUAAGGAAGAACGAGUGUGAGAAUGGAAAGUUCAUGCUGUGACGGUACUUAACCAGAAAGGGACGGCUAACUACGUGCCAGCAGCCGCGGUAAUACGUAGGUCCCGAGCGUUGUCCGGAUUUAUUGGGCGUAAAGCGAGCGCAGGCGGUUAGAAAAGUCUGAAGUGAAAGGCAGUGGCUCAACCAUUGUAGGCUUUGGAAACUGUUUAACUUGAGUGCAGAAGGGGAGAGUGGAAUUCCAUGUGUAGCGGUGAAAUGCGUAGAUAUUAGGAAGAAUACCGGUGGCGAAGGCGACUUGCUGGACACAAACUGACGCUGAGGAACGAAAGCGUGGGUAGCAAACAGG